rnacentral:rRNA from 1 species
GAUGAACGCUGGCGGCGUGCCUAAUACAUGCAAGUCGAGCGAACAGACGAGGAGCUUGCUCCUCUGACGUUAGCGGCGGACGGGUGAGUAACACGUGGAUAACCUACCUAUAAGACUGGGAUAACUUCGGGAAACCGGAGCUAAUACCGGAUAAUAUAUUGAACCGCAUGGUUCAAUAGUGAAAGACGGUUUUGCUGUCACUUAUAGAUGGCUCCGCGCCGCAUUAGCUAGUUGGUAAGGUAACGGCUUACCAAGGCGACGAUUCGUAGCCGACCUGAUAGGGUGAUCGGCCACACUGGAACUGAGACACGGUCCAGACUCCUACGGGAGGCAGCAGUAGGGAAUCUUCCGCAAUGGGCGAAAGCCUGACGGAGCAACGCCGCGUGAGUGAUGAAGGUCUUCGGAUCGUAAAACUCUGUUAUUAGGGAAGAACAAAUGUGUAAGUAACUAUGCACGUCUUGACGGUACCUAAUCAGAAAGCCACGGCUAACUACGUG